UGGGGAAUAUUGCACAAUGGGCGCAAGCCUGAUGCAGCCAUGCCGCGUGUGUGAAGAAGGCCUUCGGUUGUAAAGCACUUUCAGCGAGGAGGAAGGUGGUGAGCUUAGUACGCUCAUCAAUUGACGUUACUCGCAGAAGAAGCACCGGCUAACUCCGUGCCAGCAGCCGCGGUAAUACGGAGGGUGCAAGCGUUAAUCGGAAUUACUGGGCGUAAAGCGCACGCAGGCGGUUUGUUAAGUCAGAUGUGAAAUCCCCGGGCUCAACCUGGGAACUGCAUUUGAAACUGGCAAGCUAGAGUCUCGUAGAGGGGGGUAGAAUUCCAGGUGUAGCGGUGAAAUGCGUAGAGAUCUGGAGGAAUACCGGUGGCGAAGGCGGCCCCCUGGACGAAGACUGACGCUCAGGUGCGAAAGCGUGGGGCAGCAAACAGGAUUAGAUACCCUGGUAGUCCACGCUGUAAACGAUGUCGAUUUUGGAGGUUGUGCCCUUGAGGCGUGGCUUCCGGAGCUAACGCGUUAAAUCGACCGCCUGGGGAGUACGGCCGCAAGGUUAAAACUCAAAUGAAUUGACGGGUC
rnacentral:rRNA from 1 species